rnacentral:lncRNA from 1 species
UAAAUAGGUUUUUUAAAUGAAAAUCUAGAAAAUCUUGUAAUUUAAUAGGAUUUUGAUUUGAAACUUGAAGAGAAAAUCAAGAAAGAAGAAUUAGAAUAGAAAAAAAAAUUGAUAAAAAGAUAAAGGGAAUAAGAAAAUGAAUCUGAGAAGAAACUUGUGUUGUUUUUUAGAUAAAGGGAAUAGAAAAAUAUCCACAUAUUUUGAGUUUUGUAAAUUUCAUUAAAAACAAAAUAACAUAUCAUCAAUUUUUAAAGCAUAAGGAUCAAAAUUG